CUUCAGCCCUGAAUCUCUCUCUCUCCUCGACCUUGACAGACAUGAGGCGGUCCAUGGCCGCUUCCCCUUCUCGGGAGGCCACAGCAGC